rfam:Populus trichocarpa scaffold_13_contig_218, whole genome shotgun sequence.
UCUAGAACUCGAGAUAUGGACUAAACACUGAAUAAUAUCUGGGCUGCAGGACAUAUUCAGACUUCUCUUUUGUUGCUAAGAUGUGAACUUCAAAACGACAGAAUUGAGUCUUGGACUCUUCAUGAAUGUUUUAGGCCUAUGUCUUAUCUUUCUAUC